rnacentral:rRNA from 1 species
UACAGAGGGUGCGAGCGUUAAUCGGAAUUACUGGGCGUAAAGCGUGCGUAGACGGUUAUUUAAGUCGGGUGUGAAAGCCCCGGGCUCAACCUGGGAAUUGCAUUCGAGACUGAAUAGCUAGGGUACGGUAGAGGGAAGCGGAAUUUCCGGUGUAGCGGUGAAAUGCGUAGAUAUCGGAAGGAACAUCAGUGGCGAAAGCGGCGCGCUGGACCACUACUGACGCUGAGGAACGAAAGCUAGGGGAGCAAACAGG